UAAUACCAAGGGGGCUAGCGUUGCUCGGAAUCACUGGGCGUAAAGGGUGCGUAGGCGGGUCUUUAAGUCAGGGGUGAAAUCCUGGAGCUCAACUCCCGAACUGCCUUUGAUACUGAGGAUCUUGAGUUCGGGAGAGGUGAGUGGAACUGCGAGUGUAGAGGUGAAAUUCGUAGAUAUUCGCAAGAACACCAGUGGCGAAGGCGGCUCACUGGCCCGAUACUGACGCUGAGGCACGAAAGCGUGGGGAGCGAACCGGAUUAGAUACCCGGGUAGUCCACGCCCUAAACGUUGUGAACUAGGUGUUGGUCGGAUUGACCCGAUCAGUGCCGCAGCUAACGCAUUAAGUUCACCGCCUGGGGACUACGGCCGCAAGGUUAAAACUCAAAGGAAUAGGCGGGGGCCCGCACAAGCAGCGGAGCGUGUGGUUUAAUUCGAGGCAACGCGAAGAACCUUACCUGGGCUUGACAUGCAGAGGAAAUUUUGGUGAAAGCCAGAACCUCCCCGCAAGGGACUUCUGCGCAGGUGGUGCAUGGCUGUCGUCAGCUCGUGCCGUGAGGUGUUGGGUUAAGUCCCGCAACGAGCGCAACCCCUGUUCUUAGUUGAAUAAUCUAGGGAGACUGCCCCGGCGAAACCCGGAGGAAGGUGGGGAUGACGUCAAGUCCGCAUGCCCUUUAUGUCCAGGGCUACACACACGCUACAAUGGCCGGUACAACGGGUUCCGACACGGCGACGUGAAGGCAAUCCCUUAAAGCCGGUCUCAGUUCGGAUUGCAGGCUGCAACUCGCCUGCAUGAAGUCAGAGUUGCUAGUAACCGCAGGUCAGCACACUGCGGUGAAUACGUUCCCGGGCCUUGCACUCACCGCCCGUCACAUCACUUGAAUCUGUUGCUCCCGAAGUCGCUGGCCGAACCCGUAAGGGACGGAGGCGCCGAAGGAGUGGCCGGUGAGAGGGGUG
rnacentral:rRNA from 1 species